rnacentral:lncRNA from 1 species
AUCAUGUUCUUUUUUUUUGUUUAAAUCCUAUUCUGCUCUAUUCCCACUAUUAUCAACCCAUGGAUUAACACUUGAAGUGGGGGGGCUAUUUAUGCUUACUAAUCAAUAUCUUCUAUUCUCUCCUUCUAUGAGUUUUGCUUUUAUUUUAUUUGUUCUAUAUUCCUCUCCCCACACGGUGUUCGAACCCUUGCCCUUGUAUUUGGGUUACAAUGGAAUAUGACGGAAGAGUCAAUAUAAGGGAUGAGUUUAAUGGUGCCAAGUCUUUCGACGAAUUUGGGAAUGAUAGUAAAUAUGGCGGA